rnacentral:rRNA from 1 species
AUUGAACGCUGGCGGCAGGCUUAACACAUGCAAGUCGGGCGGGGUGAUGGUGCUUGCACUAUCACUUAGCGGCGGACGGGUGAGUAAUGCUUAGGAAUCUGCCUAUUAGUGGGGGACAACAUCUCGAAAGGGAUGCUAAUACCGCAUACGUCCUACGGGAGAAAGCAGGGGAUCACUUGUGACCUUGCGCUAAUAGAUGAGCCUAAGUCGGAUUAGCUAGUUGGUGGGGUAAAGGCCUACCAAGGCGACGAUCUGUAGCGGGUCUGAGAGGAUGAUCCGCCACACUGGGACUGAGACACGGCCCAGACUCCUACGGGAGGCAGCAGUGGGGAAUAUUGGACAAUGGGGGGAACCCUGAUCCAGCCAUGCCGCGUGUGUGAAGAAGGCCUUAUGGUUGUAAAGCACUUUAAGCGAGGAGGAGGCUCUUUUGGUUAAUACCCAGGAUGAGUGGACGUUACUCGCAGAAUAAGCACCGGCUAACUCUGUGCCAGCCGCCGCCGUAACAC